UGCGGAUGGUCAUGCGGCGCAUUAGCUUGUUGGCGGGGUAACGGCCCACCAAGGCGACGAUGCGUAGGGGUUCUGAGAGGAAGGUCCCCCACACUGGUACUGAGACACGGACCAGACUCCUACGGGAGGCAGCAGUGAGGAAUAUUGGUCAAUGGCCGGGAGGCUGAACCAGCCAAGUCGCGUGAGGGAAGACGGCCCUACGGGUUGUAAACCUCUUUUGCCGGGGAGCAAAGGGCGGGAUGUGUCCCGCGUCGAGAGUACCCGGAGAAAAAGCAUCGGCUAACUCCGUGCCAGCAGCCGCGGUAAUACGGAGGAUGCGAGCGUUAUCCGGAUUUAUUGGGUUUAAAGGGUGCGCAGGCGGGAUGUCAAGUCAGCGGUAAAAUCGGGAGGCUCAACCUCUCUCAGCCGUUGAAACUGGCGUUCUUGAGUGGGCGAGAAGUAUGCGGAAUGCGUGGUGUAGCGGUGAAAUGCAUAGAUAUCACGCAGAACCCCGAUUGCGAAGGCAGCAUACCGGCGCCCGACUGACGCUCAUGCACGAAAGCGUGGGUAUCGAACAGGAUUAGAUACCCUGGUAGUCCACGCAGUAAACGAUGAAUACU
rnacentral:rRNA from 1 species